ensembl:lncRNA
UCACUCUCUACAGCUGCCUGAAAGGAAGUGGUGGUGAGGUGGGGGUGGGGGUCGUCCUCUUCUCCCACGUAACAGUUGUGGGAGAGUCACCAACAGUGAGGUGGUGGAGUCACCAACCCUGCAGGCGUUCAAGAAACGUGUAGAUGUUGUACUGAGGGAUGUGAUUUAGUGGGAAAUAUUGGUGGAAGGCGGGUGGUUGAACUGGAUGGCCUUGGAGGUCUUUUCUAACCUUGGUGAUUCUAUACUAAAUAUUACUGCUAUGGGCAAAACUAACCGCAAAUGUUACAUAAAAAGGUUUUUAAUUUUUAGAAUAUAGAUUGUUUCUAUGUGUAAAAUCCAGUGCUUGUGAAGUGCAAAUGCGCAGCACAAGAAGAAUGAAAACUUAGCCUGAGAGCAGAAACAGCACAAACUAUACCACUGCAUUCUUCUCCCAUGUGCUCUAGCCAGGAACAGCCGUGAUGGUGCCAGGAAGGGCAGUCUGUACAGCACAGUGGAGUUUAUUGUUUACAUCUCUGCAGUAGCUAAAGGCUCCGAACAGAUGUAAAUCAUAUUAUUUGCUAACAAUACCUUCCAGUCAAAACAGAAAAAGAAAUCCUCUGAAGCUUAUGGGUUACACAACUGAAGUACAGGUGAAAACGAAAGUGAAAGGGUAAAUUCCAUGCCUCAGUCUCUGUUACUAUCAGUUACUGUAUUUCUUAAGACCAGCAAAAAUCAGCAGUGGAAAGCAUAAGCAAGUAUGAGCAGGUCUUCAGCUCCAUACAGUCCAGGGGUACUCAGUUACCACAUAUUCACUGCUAUCACCUGGGCUGAACCAGAUGGCCUUCAUAAAUUCCUUCCAACCUGCUUUUUUUUCAAUGAUUACAUGUGUUAGCUUGGCAUACAUUUGACAGAAACUAGCAUAUAACUGCAAAGAAUUACAAAAAGAUCUCACAACUGUUAUUGGCUCUAACACACAAAAAAAGCUCUAAGCAGACAGUCCUACACCUCUGAAAUACAAAAACAUCAUCUCUGAGCUACAAAACUGCCAGUCAGGAAAGCGUUCUGGAGUAAGGUGCUGUCCUGCUGGCCUCUGUCCCCUUUGGAUUGCCCGUCCAAGACCAAGCGUCAAUCUGACCCUGCACACAGUGUUUAAGUCCUCCCAGGAGAAAGGACUGAAGAAAAACUAAACAAACAAGACAAUAACUGAUUGCAUGAGACAACAAAUGGGAGAACAGAAAUGACUGGAAUGGGAUGCCAGGAAAAGCACCUCUGGCAGCACCCAGCACUUCCCAGAGAGAACACCAAUGGCUUGGUUGAACUUUUGGACUGGCCUAAUAAAACCAUGUGACAUCAGACAAAGCACUCCAUAGCAAGGUGACUUCUGCCAUACAGAGAUUUCUGUCAUUUUUACUAGUUAACUUGGAGAUGAUUCUAAAGACAACCCAGGCAUAGAAGGGUGCACUUUUAGAGAAAAGCAAAUAACGUUUCCCCACCUCCACAUUCAAGUACAGUUAAGAGGCAACAGCAACGUAGGAUCACUGAAAAGCUGUCACAUUUCUUUUUACAGUGGGAAUUACUGAUGUUCAAAUGAUUCACACAUUUAAGUAAAACCAAAGUACACUCAUGGAAUUUCAAUGCUUUAACAUGGAAACGUCACCGUGAACCCAUCUCAGUGCAAGUGAAGAGCAUGACAGUACUUGAACAUCCUGAAUAAGGAAUUGGAGAGUUGAAAUCGACUCUCCUGGUUAAUUAAUUGCUAUCUUUGAGGAGGUGCAUGGUGGUUUGCGGAUAGCAAUGUUUAUCCAGGACAUGCCCCAGUCUUCGUUGCUGCUGCCCACAAAAAAUGCUUGGAUUAUAAUCAGAACCUUCAGAUUAUCUCUGCUGCUGACAAAGAUUUCAUUCAUUCAAGAGCAUUACUUCUGGGACAUUUCUGUUUUCUAGUACCUGUUUGUUUGUGGCUUGGUUGCUUUUUUGUUGUCUGAGAUUCCACUCAAUAGUCAACACUUUAUUCUGAAAAUGAUUGCAUUUGUUUUGAGAAUGUUUACUCUCUGACCUGAACAUUUAUUUUAAUAUGCUUACUGUAAACACUCGAUUGCCCCUUAACUUAAAAGACCACAAGCUACAAUGUCACAGCUCCUGCUUUGAGAAAGUUUCGUCUACCUUCAGUGAAACAGUUUCCAGAGUAAGGUUUCCAGAUGUAAGUAAUUUGCUUCUUAAUUCAUUUAAAUCCCUUAAAAAGAAUCAGGCUUCCAACGCCUGCGUUUAACAGCCAUAGGGAAGCAAAUUUAGAGGAAAGAAUGAGGUGAAGAAGUACAGGAACAACUGAAAGCUCAAGAGCAGGGACACAGUCACGUCCAGUCACUGGAAGUCAUGAGCAGCACUGAAAGGUCAUUUCUCUCUAGACACUGAAGGACUGAUGUGAAUAGAAAGCAAUUUUCUUGAUUACUUAAUAAAAGUUUGAGGGGAAGUGUUGUAGUCAAAAAUAAAUGCAUUAAUGUAGUUACUUUCAACACACUACAGUGAUGGAGGAGUCUGGCCCAACCGUUUGUUGUGCACAUCUUGAAAGCAGUGGACAGAUCAUGCUUUUUGCUCAUACAUUUGGUGGCAUUUAAAUUCUGAUUGUAGCUAAUAUUAUUAUACAGUAUCACAUAGCAUUUUGGGCUACUACUACUUUCCUCUGCUUUUUCCCUCCUGGGCAGUUUCAAAACAGCUCCAGACUAGAUGCUGCUCAAGCACUGCAUGAUUCCCUCUGGCCCUGCUGCCUGUUCCUCCAAAGUCUGCUCUUGCACAGCACAUCAUUAGGACAACUGCUUGUCAAAAUGAAUACACUAAACGUUUGCUACAGCUGAAGUUUUCUAAAGAGUUCCUUCCAAAUUAAUCCACUCAGUGACCAUCAUCCCAUCAUCACAAUACACGUCGAGAGCAGAAACUCUUAUCUCUGUCACCUCCAUCGUACAAAAGAAAGCAAGCACAGCCAAAGAUGCUAGCCAAGGUUUUUUGUACUAUCUCACCAAGAGAUACAUCACUUACUUUGAAAAAAAAAUCUGCUAUUGAUAGUUCUCACAACAGCAACAAAAUCAAGAAACAACGCUCAGUCUGCACUGCCAGGCAUGGGAUGAAGCCAUGAGGAACAGAAACCUGCAGAGGAUGAUUCCACAGAGCUGCUCCAAGGGAAGGAACAGCUUUAAGGACUGCAUAUUUAAAACAUCCCUGGUCAGACCUCUUCCACUUUUUUUUCCGCCACCCUUUCAAUUGGAUAGGAAACAGGCAGUCUUCUGCUGGAGCUGAUAGGCUCCAAGGACAAAAUGCAACAGUUUCCUAAUCACCUUCCAACCAUAAAUAAUUCUGUGUUCUCUCCUUUCUACGUGAAUUGAUAUUUACACGAAAAUGUAUUAUCCACAGCCAAUCAGUUUGAUGUAGGUGUUGAUUUGCUGUCAUCUAGCACGUUAUGUUGCAAAGUGACUGUGUAGAAAUAAUUGCUGUCAGUGCUAUAGUUUCCUGGAACUUGUGACUAGGAGCAGACCGCUGUGUACAGAGGCCACAGAAAGGCUUCUUGUACAGGCACAGACACCGGCUUUGCAAUCACCGAGCGCUAUGGGCACGGCCCUCAGGAAAAGCACUGUUAAGAUUUACAGCUAAGGUAAUGUCACACAUUUACAGAGCAGCACCACAAAUAACUUGACCGUGUGUUUACAGUAAUUUUAUUUACAAGUUACCAUAUGACACCUGUAGUACUACAGUUUUUUAUAACACCAUUAGCAGUAAAAUAAGUCACAUCUAGAAUAGGAGGCAGCUGAGAAAAAUGUGCACAGAGAAUGCAGAAAAGCUAUUCAGUUAUAAUUAAAGUAGGUAUCGUUCUACACACUUCAAAAGCAAGGAGGAAUAUACAAGUUGAGAAGAGCAAGUUCUUCACCCCGUUAGUUCUACAGUAUUAAAAUUUUUCUAACAGUGACAUCUUGGUACGAUGAACACUACACACUAGCAGUCAAAUGCAAGUGGUGGGAAGAUAACUGUAUUAACUCCUUGUCCCUCUGAGGAAAAACAAAGCUUCCCUCUUUUAAAGGAAAGUUAUCCAGGGCAGAUUUACUUGCAGUGCAGAAACACUAUCAGGGGGUCAGGAAGGACAGAAUUUAAGACUAGAGAGUUCCCAUGCAUUGCAUAUUGCCUGUGCGUUCUUAUCUGGUCUUGAGUUAAGGAGUUGGUGAACAAAACCAGUUGCAGCAUUCCCCAAGUCUUUUUACAGCGCCAUGAUCUAAUAAGGCUGUGGUAGCUUAGCAGAAUCCCAAAAUCAAGCAGAGAAAAAAGCCCUUCUGCUCUCUUAUAAUCCUUGGCUCUAACGAUGCUGGUGUUGAGCCUGGGCCUUUCUCAAGAGGAAAAAUGUGGAGGAGCAAUUCCGGAGAAACUCUCUAGAUCUAGAUGUGUUCUGGUGAUAAGAGUCAGAAGAAAACAAG